GCUGAGUUUGCGCAGGAUAGGUGGGAGGCUUUGAAGUUUUCCUUGUGGGGGAAACUGAGCCAUCGGUGAGAUACCACUCUAACUCAGCUAGAAGUCUAACCUCGACCCGUCAUCCGGGAGAGGAACCGUUUCAGGUGGGCAGUUUGACUGGGGCGGUCGCCUCCUAAAUGGUAACGGAGGCGCGCAAAGGUUCCCUCAGGCUGGUUGGAAAUCAGCCGCAGAGUGCAAAGGCAUAAGGGAGCUUGACUGCGAGACCUACAAGUCGAGCAGGGACGAAAGUCGGCCUUAGUGAUCCGACGGCACUGCGUGGAAGGGCCGUCGCUCAACGGAUAAAAGUUACUCUAGGGAUAACAGGCUGA
rnacentral:rRNA from 1 species